UUUUAGCCCCGAUGGUAACGGAAAUCCUUUUCUUUUUGCUUUCAAAAAGAAAAGAUUCGAGUGAACAGCGGGAAACAGC
rnacentral:sRNA from 1 species